rnacentral:rRNA from 1 species
ACGGAAGGCAGCAGUGGGGAAUAUUGGACAAUGGAGGCAACUCUGAUCCAGCGACGCCGCGUGAGUGAAGAAGUAUUUCGGUAUGUAAAGCUCUAUCAGCAGGGAAGAUAAUGACGGUACCUGACUAAGAAGCCCCGGCUAACUACGUGCCAGCAGCCGCGGUAAUACGUAGGGGGCAAGCGUUAUCCGGAUUUACUGGGUGUAAAGGGAGCGUAGGCGGCCAGACAAGUCAGAUGUGAAAGCCCGGGGCUCAACUCCGGUACUGCAUUUGAAACUGCCAGGCUUGAGUGCAGGAGAGGCAAGCGGAAUUCCUAGUGUAGCGGUGAAAUGCGUAGAUAUUAGGAGGAACACCAGUGGCGAAGGCGGCUUGCUGGACGACAACUGACGCUGAGGCGCGAAAGCGUGGGGAGCAAACAGGAUUAGAUACCCUGGUA